UGGGGAAUUUUACGCAAUGGGGGAAACCCUGACGUAGCGACACCGCGUGAGCGAAGAAGCCCUUUGUGGUGUAAAGCUCUGUCAGCUGGAACGAAAACAAUGACGGUACCAGCAGAGGAAGCAUCGGCUAACUACGUGCCAGCAGCCGCGGUAAGACGUAGGAUGCGAGCGUUGUCCGGAUUUAUUGGGCGUAAAGAGUUCGUAGGUGGUUUGUUAAGUUUGGUGUUAAAGAUCGGGGCUCAACCCUGGGACUGCACUGAAUACUGGCAGACUCGAGUGUGGUAGAGGCGAGUGGAAUUCCCAGUGUAGCGGUGAAAUGCGUAGAUAUUGGGAAGAACACCGGUGGCGUAGGCGACUAGCUGGGCCAUAACUGACGCUGAGGAACGAAAGCCAGGGGAGCGAAUGGG
rnacentral:rRNA from 1 species